rnacentral:rRNA from 1 species
AGAGUUUGAUCCUGGCUCAGGAUGAACGCUAGCUACAGGCUUAACACAUGCAAGUCGCGGGGCAGCAUGUUGGUUGCUUGCAACCGAUGAUGGCGACCGGCGCACGGGUGAGUAACGCGUAUCCAACCUACCUAUUACCACGGGAUAACCCGACGAAAGUCGGACUAAUACCGUAUGUUGUCCUCCAAUGGCAUCAGCAGUGGACUAAAGGUUUGGCGGUAAUAGAUGGGGAUGCGUCCGAUUAGCUAGUUGGUGAGGUAAUGGCUCCCCAAGGCUUCGAUCGGUAGGGGUUCUGAGAGGAAGGUCCCCCACACUGGAACUGAGACACGGUCCAGACUCCUACGGGAGGCAGCAGUGAGGAAUAUUGGUCAAUGGACGAGAGUCUGAACCAGCCAAGUAGCGUGCAGGAUGACGGCCCUAUGGGUUGUAAACUGCUUUUAUGCGGGGAUAAAGUGGCCCACGUGUGGGUUUUUGCAGGUACCGCAUGAAUAAGGACCGGCUAAUUCCGUGCCAGCAGCCGCGGUAAUACGGAAGGUCCAGGCGUUAUCCGGAUUUAUUGGGUUUAAAGGGAGCGUAGGCCGUUUUUUAAGCGUGUUGUGAAAUGUACCGGCUCAACCGGUGAUGUGCAGCGCGAACUGGAAGACUUGAGUGCGUAGUAAGCAGGCGGAAUUCGUGGUGUAGCGGUGAAAUGCUUAGAUAUCACGAAGAACUCCGAUUGCGAAGGCAGCUUACUGUAGCGCAACUGACGCUGAUGCUCGAAAGCGUGGGUAUCGAACAGGAUUAGAUACCCUGGUAGUCCACGCGGUAAACGAUGGAUGCUCGUUGUCGGCCCUUCGGGUCGGUGACCAAGCGAAAGCGUUAAGCAUCCCACCUGGGGAGUACGCCGGCAACGGUGAAACUCAAAGGAAUUGACGGGGGCCCGCACAAGCGGAGGAACAUGUGGUUUAA